UGGGGAAUAUUGGACAAUGGGCGAAAGCCUGAUCCAGCAAUGCCGCGUGAGUGAUGAAGGCCUUAGGGUUGUAAAGCUCUUUUACCCGAGAUGAUAAUGACAGUAUCGGGAGAAUAAGCUCCGGCUAACUCCGUGCCAGCAGCCGCGGUAAUACGGAGGGAGCUAGCGUUGUUCGGAAUUACUGGGCGUAAAGCGCACGUAGGCGGCUUUUUAAGUCAGGGGUGAAAUCCCGGGGCUCAACCCCGGAACUGCCCUUGAAACUGGGAAGCUAGAAUCUUGGAGAGGCGAGUGGAAUUCCGAGUGUAGAGGUGAAAUUCGUAGAUAUUCGGAAGAACACCAGUGGCGAAGGCGACUCGCUGGACAAGUAUUGACGCUGAGGUGCGAAAGCGUGGGGAGCAAACA
rnacentral:rRNA from 2 species